rnacentral:rRNA from 1 species
UACGUAGGGUGCAAGCGUUGUCCGGCAUUAUUGGGCGUAAAGAGCUCGUAGGCGGUUUGUUGCGUCGGCUGUGAAAUCCCGAGGCUCAACCUCGGGUCUGCAGUCGAUACGAGCAAACUAGAGUGUUGCAGGGGAGACUGGAAUUCCUGGUGUAGCGGUGAAAUGCGCAGAUAUCAGGAGGAACACCGGUGGCGAAGGCGGGUCUCUGGGCAACAAAUGACGCUGAGGAGCGAAAGCGUGGGGAGAGAACAGG